GAUGAACUCUUGCUACAGGCUUAACACAUGCAAGUCGAGGGGAAACGACGGGGUAGCUUGCUUCCCCUGGCGUCGACCGGCGCACGGGUGAGUAACGCGUAUCCAACCUGCCUCUUACUGAGGGUUAACCCGUCGAAAGUCGGCCUAAUACUUCAUUGCAUCGUCUUCGGGCAUCCAACGACGAUUAAAGAUUUCUUCUGUCAUAGAUUGGGUUGCGUCUGAUUAGCUUGUUGGCGGGGUAACGGCCCACCCAGGCGACGAUCAGUAGUGUUUCUGAGAGGAAGGUACACCGCAUUGGAACUGAGACACGGUCCAAACGCCUACGGGAGGCAGAAGUGAGGAAUAUUGGUCAAUGGGCGAGAGCCUGAACCAGCCAAGUAGCGGGAAGAAUGAAGGACAUAGGGGUUGUAAACUGAGUUUAUGAGGGGAUAAAGUGAGGGACGUGUCCUUCAUUGCAGGUACCGGAUGAAUAAGGACCGGCUAAUUCCGUG
rnacentral:rRNA from 1 species